rnacentral:lncRNA from 1 species
UCCUGGUUUUCUUUUAAUUUCACGAAAGGCUUUUUGGCUUUGUUCUGCAGUCAGUCCAAAGCGCACUUUCACUCUCUCUUUAAAUGUGAGGGAAUCAGAGGUUUCAUCCUCUCUGAGAUCUGAGUAUAUUUCACUCAAAAUUCCACAUAUCUGUGGGCGUAAGUGCAGCAUCCAGUUUUCCUCAUGAAUGUUUAAGUCUGCCAGUCCGCUCAAAACUAAAUAGGAUCUGUGUGGGUUUUAACUUCAUAUCCCACCUCUGCCCUCAAUUAAUAUGCGAAGACGCAAGGGCUCUUUUCCCCCCGGCAGCCUUGGGCCCGUUCUCUCUCUUAAAUAUAGUGCACCCACCUCACAGAACACAAUUUCCACAAAUGCCCUCCAACUACCUCAGAUUAUCUUGUGGGGGACUUGCGUGAGGUAAAACUUACUAAUUGGGAGUCUCAGGCAGGAUUUCUUCAAAUAAAGAUUAACGAUUUUAUUUAACAAGGAAGUUUAUGACACGAGUGGAUAAAACAUAGGAUAUUUCAGUUUACAAUGUUAUUUCCCUUCAAGGUUUUCUCAGUUGUUUCACACGUAAUACUUUGGUUCUUAACAAGGUGGCACUUUCUGCCAGUUACACACCCCUUGGACAACCCUACUCCCAAGGUACUCCAAGCCAAAGACCCAAGGGAUCUCUGGUUUGGGAGUCUUCUCUUUCUAGAAGGAUCUCUCCCCUCCUGACUGGGAUGAGAGCUCAGCAGCCGGUCUCUUUCCAGCUCCUCCUUCUCCUGGCUCAGCCUCCCAGUUCAUUCCUGGCCUGAUUUACUCUCCCAGGACACCACACACUGUCCUUCCCACUAAGCUCAGAGACUCCUUUCUCUAGCUGGUGAUCUUUUCCUCAGAGUGGAUGUUUCCACCCAGAACCAGCUCCUCUCACUCCCCAUCUUCCCCACCUCCCUCCAAAGCUCCUAGCCAUGGGGUCAAAUGGGCCCAGGUCUCCCCACUCCAGGGCUCUUAGUCCGUCCGCUAAACCACAGUUAGGGCGGGUGUAGGAUAUUCUCCUAGGUGCCCAAACCUGCCACUUCUCCAUGUUCUUUUCUGAUAGAUCAAGACGCACGGCAAGGACAUUGUCCGGGUGCUGCCCUGAGCUUAUUGCAGCCUGAUGCCAACAAACAGACGUGCGUGUCCUGUUUGUUGGCAAGUAAAGCAACACCCCUCCCUGGUUGGGAUGGAGGGUCUCGCCUCUGGAAUGGUGGAAAUGACCAUCCAGCCAUGUGGUUGGUCAGGGGCCCAGGCCUCUCCUGAAUCGUCUUCUGAGGGUCUCAGGAUGGGUGAUGAAUUUCAGGGAAUUGGAUUGGCAGGCAGUGCCCCUCUGCAUUUGUCCCUGCCCUGCCCCUCAGUGCAAUGAGUUCUGGGCAGCCUGCAGAAUUCUCCAGUUCUAGGAUUCCACGACACCCCAGAUCACUCUCUGUAUCUGGGAAGGGACUGCAGCAGAGCUGUGAAGUCACUGAGGGGGGAAGAGGAGACAAGAAGAGCAAGCUUUCUCUUGGCUAAAAACCAAACACCCCAGAAGGAGCAGGAAAGGCCCAGAGGGGGAGAGGCUCUGCAAGGACAUCUCCCUGGCGGGCCUUUUCCUCGCCAGGCUCUCCGGGCACCAGAUAGGCUUUCAUUUUAAUGCCAAGGACGCCCUGAAAGGACUUAGACCAGUCAUGACGUGAAGGAGGCAUUGAAGGAAUAAAUCAUAAUUUGGGUCAGCCACCGGCCAUAGCAAUAAAAAAAACAAACGAUAUAACAAAGAAAAAAUCAAAAUCAAAAGUCAGUUAUAUAAAAUACUUUUAAGGGUUCUGAGUCAAGAGUCAAAUGGUGGAUCUUAUUCUAAUUGCCCCAGCUAAAAACCUGUGAAGAAGGUAUUAAACACCUUGGCCAAGAACUUGCAAGUCGUAGCUCUGGGUACGUAGUAGGAAUUCCUAUUGGGCACAAGAUGUGGCAAAGAACCCGGCUGCAAACCUCACCCUCAUAUUAUUUAAAGUCUCCUAAAAUUAAAUCUGUAUACAGCCACUACUACAGUUUGCCUCCAAUGUGAAUUCUUGAUGGGAAGCAUAUAUAGAGCUCACAAUAAAUAUACUGCACUGAAGAACCUGGAACUCUAAGCAUUUCUGCUAAAGCGCCGCAAAGAUUUUGCGACAGGGAGGACUCUCCUGAAGCCCUAUAGACAUCUCCAAGGUGCGCAGGGGAAUGAGAGGGGGAAAGCCCCAUUGUGGGACUGAUGGGGUGAAUCCUGGCCACUCUUUGGUAUGGGGUGUGAACUGCUUAGAAGCCUAUUUGAGCCUUCAACCCUCCUUCCUUGGCGGUUCCUCCCACCAUUCCUCUGUGUCCACCAGUCCAUGACAUCCUCUCUCCCCACAUGGCCCCUUCCUCCUACCUGCUCUGGGUCCACAGGGGCAGCUUCCCCUCCGCCACCAAGAAAAGAUGGACAAGCAGGUCUUGCUGGCAUCGUUCCGUCUCCUGCGAGAGAAGAAGGUAAGUGGGAAGCCAAGAGCGCAUGCUUCACUCCGAAGGAAAACUACAGGUGCGCCUUCAAACAAGUAGGAGUUGCCACCUAAAUGUGGACAUUUGCACCCAUUUGACAUACUAGUUGUGCAAAAAUACAUCUCCCUUUCUCUGGACUCUUGGUCCCCUGUGACUUCUCCAAUAAGAUGAAAAGAAUUCACAGAUUAGUUUCAAAAUCCACAGCUUGCGAGCAGACGGAGAAAGGACUCCUUCCUCCUUACCCAGAGGCCUCUCUCUGGAGUCCAAGGGAGUCUUCUCUGCCUCAGAGGAAUCCGGACCCAUUUCUGCUAACAGAUCCUGCCCCUGAGAGAGCAACAAGGAUUCAAGAGAGAGAGUGGGGAGAAGGAUUAGAAAAGGAGCAGCAGACGCAAACACUUUAGGGCUGUCCAAUAUCAUUCCUCGGAUGCUCUCCAAAAAAGGAUGGACCAUUAGUAAAUGAUUUGGGAAUACUCUCCCUCCUCUUAGGAGCCCCUUGGGAGUCUCUCUCACCUGCUGCUCUGCCUGACUCAGAAGGAAACCUUCAACCAGGGCCACUGCCUGGGAACUGGUCUCCGCUCCGCAUUUCCUCACCCAGUUCUACAUCUCUGGAGGAAGGACAGCCAGGAACUGCUCCAAGAUCACCAGGUCCAGCAUCUCAGCUUUCGUGUGUCUUUCUGGCUUCAGCCAUUGACAGCAAAGGUGGUAGAGUUGGCUGCAAACCUCUCGGGGUCCUUUGGCCUCCUGGUAUCAGAACUGAGCUGCUGGCUCUGCACCUCUGAGCAAGGGGUGUCCUCCUCACCCAGGAUCUUCUGCACGGAGUUUUCCCAGAAUCCUCCACUGCUCCCAUGGUGGGUUGCAAGGACUCUUCCUGCUUCAGGGCCAGCUGAGUCUUGCUCAUCCAUCUCUGUUCCCAGGAGAUCGGAAGGAGUCCCUAGGUCUUCUGCCAAGUUCUGCCUGUCCUACUGAGAGGUGCCAGAGAAUCCUGUAAAGCAAAUGCAUUCUUCUACUACCAGAUUGAUACACAGUCAGGAGAAGAGAAAUGUUCCCUGGGCAAGCAUGGAUGAGUCUGAAUCACAGCCCAGACUCGGAGUUCAAGCACCAUAUUCCCAUAUUCUGAAGACAGACUUCUGUCUUUGUUCUGAGGGCAACUCUCCCCCCCUCAGAAGCAUGGCUGCCUCCCACUGGGGGGCCUGGAGCCAUCGCUAGCCCUCUGCUCCUCCCUGAAUGGGCCUCAUCCUCUUCUCAAGCCAUCUCUUCCUCCUGUGGGAGGGAGUUCCAUGGGUCUAACUGCGCACUGGGAGAUGGAAGGACUUUGUUUAGCACAGAGGCCAAGUUUUUAUUUCUGCCUCCAAAUGUUUCCAUCUGGCUGCCACCUGGGCUAAGGAACGUGGCCGAUUCCUCAAUCCCAUCAGGGUUCCUUUGCAGGCCCUUUUCUUCCUGACUCAGUGACCCCUCCCCAAAGGAGCAAGACAAGAGUUGCAGACCUCCUGUUACUUGCAGCCUCCCUGGCUUUGCAGAGAGAAGGGGGGCAGAACCUCUUAGCCCUGGCUUGGGGAUCUCCUUGCAGGAGCUGAGCAGAAUCCCCACGGAUCUCCAUCAUGACUCCCUGGCCCUCAUGGCUGUUCUUCUGAACCCUUGCAAAGCGGAGCUCUCCCUGCUCCCUUCUCUCUCUCUCUCUCUCUCUCUCUCAGGAGCCAGGGCCCCAGAGGGGUCUUCUUUGGGGGACCCUCCCCUGCAGCCCUGGGACCCCCCAUCUCCCCAAGGCAACUCACCGGAUCCCAGAAGGCGCCCCCAGGCAGCACUUGUGGAGCAGAGAGACAAAAGCCCGGAUGGGGGCGGAGCUUGUACUCUGGGGAGCCUCCUCCCUUUAUUCCUCUCUAGGAAGCCAGCUUGGUGCCCCUUGACCCUUUUGCUGGUCCCUCCCUUUCUGCGGAGGAGCCCCGGGCGUGGCGCAGGUGCAGAGCUGCUCCAUCGGGGGACUUUGGGGGCCUGGCGAGCUUCUCCCUCCGCGGGGAACAGAUUUCUGUACAUCUCAAGAGUAGUAAGAAUGUAUUCCUUCCCACCCUUUGCUUGAGAAGUAAAACUCUGCAAGUGUUUGGCUCCAGGGUCCCUUGAGAGAGAAUUGGUUCCGACUCUCUGAGCAAAGAGGAAGGAAAAGGGGGUCCUGCAAGGAGAGGAUGAGGGGAAGACCCCCUUUUCUAGGGGUGGGGGAGAGGGAUUGGGCUCCCAGGUCAAGAGAGCACCUUGUAUCCUGGCACUGAAAAGACACCCUCCCGACACACACUUUGUGGCAUCUCCUUUUGGCAAAGGGUCAAAACUGUUGGUUUGCAAUCCCCCUCCACAGAGGCUGGCCCCUCUCACUGUCCUCGGAGCUUGCAUACCGGUAACCUCCUCUGGCUGACAUCCAGACAGACCAGGGAGAUUUUGAUAGGCGACAUUUUCCCAAGCGUGGGUAAAAUGCACAACCCCUCCCUCCUGCUUCCGCAGGGGGAAAAAAAUAAGUCAGAAAUCUAUUUACAUGAUGUUUAUUUCUGACAUUACAGCACUAGAAAAAACACGUCCUUUCAGUUCAGUUCUUCUAGCAAGUCUGACAAACUUCCUGAACAUGCAAAGUCGGAAGGUUUCAAAUUACACUCUUCACAAAGACUUAUCCAGCCUGUGAACGUCCUGGGAAACUCUUCUUUCCCACAGAUAGGCGCAUCAUGUGAUGUCAACAAUCUGGCUGUCUGCAGCAGUGAUGUUUCCAUAUACUGACAAAAACAUAGUUCCAACUUGAAAACCACCUCCAGGACCAGCUCCCCUCAAUAAGCUUUGGACUACAACUCCCAACCGGGCCUGCCAGCAGAAGGCAGGGUGGAUGGAAACAGCCGUCCAAAAGGUCCAGCCAGCCCCAGAGGCGACCCAAGGCUGCUCUCCAACGGGGCGCUGCUCCAGGCAUCUGAGUUGCCCAGCUCAAGGGAGCUGGUGGGACUAAAAACUGGGGUUCCUGAAUUGAGGGGUUGGACUAGAUGAGCCUGGAGUGUCCUCUUCCAGGAUUCCUCUUCUGGCUGCCAAUGCCACGGCUGGAAUGUUUCCCAAAACUGCCCCCCCCUUUCACAAGGAGCUCUCCCCCCCCCCCGUGUCUUAAACUACCCUUUGACUGGCAACCAUCUCCAAUCUCCUUGGUGGACAAUCCCAACCAAAGAUGCAUUAGAUUCUCUGAAAUCUACUCAGGAGUCCUGUAGUGAUUUCAUGCUCUUUAUUGCAGCUUGCAAAAGAGUGAUUUAAUUGCUCCCCAAACCUCAGGCUGUUCCCGUUGCGUCCAGAAGGUUAGCAUUCGUAGUCGUUGAGGUAUGCCGGUCACCUAUUUAGGCCUUGUGGUCUUGGGUGUCUCUCAGUAGGGGUUCCUGGUUCUGGCUCUUGUUCCAGGGCUGCCGGCUGUGACAGGGCCGUUGGGUUGGAUGCUGCUGGUCCACUCGGUUGUGGUUUUGGUUCCUGUGGCUGCUCGGCCUCGGUCACUUCUGGACUUCCUAGUUCUGCCUCCCUUACCCGCUCCUCCUGCUCUAUGGGCCUCACCCUUCUGCUAUCCCCUUGGGAUUCCUCUGCCCAGCCCUCCUUGCAGUUCCCCCCCAGGAAUCAUCCGGAAGUUCAAUAGUCCCAAGAAGGCUUGGAGUUCCGUCUUACCCUUAGGUGCAGGGGCGUCGCAAAUAGUCCUCACCUUGUCCCCGAUUAGGUGGACUCUUAAAACCCACCAGGGUGGCAAGGACAUGGCUGACCAUUGGCACCGGGUAUGCAUGAGCCAUAAGGGCCUUGUUUAUGGUACAUUUGUAGUCUACGCAGAUGUGGACUGAGCCAUUGGGCUUGACGGGUGUGAUGAUUGGGGUUUCCCAGGGGGCAUUAGGCACAAGCUAGAGCACUCCUUGCUCCAUGAGCUGGUCUAAUUCCUCGCCAAUGUGGGGUUUUGAGGGCAAACAGGACCUGGUGGGCCUUGAACCCGAUGGGUCGUAUGGCGGGGUCUAGUAGGCCUACGGGGGGGCAGUAUAUCAUCCCAAUGCCCCAUUGAAAACCUCUUGAAACUCUUUGCACAUGGCGUCCACGUCCACGUGGGAGCUGGUGCGGUUAACCCCGCUGAUGGCUAGCCCCAGUGGCCCAAACCACGCCAACCCCAGUAAGCUAACGUAGCGCCCCUUGACCACGAUCAAGUCCAACUGCCACUUCUGCCCUCAAUAUUGUACAUUGAAGGUUCCCACCCCCAUUGUGUUUGUGGAAGUCUCCUAGAGGGUGAAUGGGGCUGGCCAAACUUGGAGCCGCCACUGGGACACAAUUUCCUUAAUGUCCAUGCCAAGAUUAUGGACAGGAGUGAGCCUGUAUCAAGCUCCAGGCGGAAUGGGGCUGCCCCUAUCUGUGCCUCAAUGUAAAUUGUUUCCGCAUUAGAAUGAGGCAGCUGAUAUACCUGACAGUCUGUGAUCUCCGUUGAGUUGCCUUGGUGUGUAAGACCACAGGGCCUGGGACUCUUGGGUGGGCCAUCUGGUUCGAGGCGUCGGGCAGGGCAGGCACGGCACACCCGGGCGAUGUGUCCCACUUUUCUGCAUUGUCGGCAUUCCGCGUUGGGAAAUGGCAAGUCCUCUGCUCGUGGCUCUCCCCGCAACUUGCACAGUUCCCGUCUUCCGGACGAGGCUGUCGUGGUGGGUGUGCAGCUUAUGUUUGCUGCUGCACUCAGUGCACGUCCUCCCAGUCGAAUUCUGAGUCGUCGGUGAGGUCCUCAUGGUGGAUCCUCGUCUGGGAUAAAAUGUUUGAUUGGAAUCCUUGCGCUGACCUCUCUGCAGCUUCAGUUGCUAAAGCCUCCUCUAGGGCAGCCUGGAGCAUCAGGUCCUUCUUGGCGUAGAGGCGCCACUGCAGCUUCUCGUCCCUCAGGCUGCCCACGAAGCAGUCGCCAAGCAUGUUCUCCAGCUCUGUGACGUUGCAGAGCCUGGCAGCCUGGCAGAGGGAGGUCACAUACCCGGCUAUGGUUUCUCCGGAGACCUGCCGCUUUGCCUAGAAGGCAUUUCGACACGCUACCCCUGAGGGUUGUUGCGAGAAGUGCCCCUUCAGCCGUUCUAUUAUCGUGUCGCAAUAUUUGUGGGAGCGAGAAGGGCUCAGGCGAUCUUGAACGUUUCUUCUCCACAGAUGCUGAAGAAGGUUGCCCUCUACUUGGCUGUGUCUCAUGACGUCCUUUGCCUCCAGGAGGAACUGGAAGCGGGUGGCGUAUCCUUCCCAGUCUCCUGAGGCUGGGCUGAAUGGCAUGAAGCGGUUGUCUGUCACCAUUCUGGGUCCUUGGGUCCUGGAGCUGUAGCCUGGAUGCGCAGUGCGAUGCUGUGUUGCCUGUGGCAGCUGUGUGCGUUGCACGGCAGACAGCUCAGCAGGAUCCCACCUUCAUCGCCAGUGAAAUAUAUUCGGAGUCCUGUAGUGAUUUCAUGCUCUUUAUUGCAGUUUGUAAAACAGUGAUUUAAUUGCCCCCCAAACCUCAGGCUUUUAUAUACAUUAUUUACACAAUGAGUCCCGUCUGAUUGGCUGCUUCUGUUGGGAUCCUGCCAGGGAGACAGAGGCAUCAGGCCUCCAUGUCGUCUCCAGACGAUCUCUGGUCUCCCGUUGGAACAGCAUCAGUCAAUUAGCGACACGACCCUCAGACGCAUUCCAAGACUCAUGCACGCCCUUCUCGCAGAGUUUCCACAACGGAAGAUUCACCCAGGAGAGCAUAUUUACAGCUUUAUUCAACGUUGGUCAGAACAAAGAAAAAACAUGACUGCUUGCAUUCAUGUCAAGGAAAGCAGCCAGAACAAAAGCUAUAUACAAAACGGAAACUCCCAGUGAGCAGGAAGUAAACAGGCAUGUGACACACAACAGCCUGUUCCCUUUUUUAAGGAGGAACGGAAAUAUCCUAACAGAUUCUGCUUCCCUCCUGGAGCCUGAUUGGUCUUUUCCUGCAAGCCAAUCAGUUGUUGCAUUCUAGGAUCCUACUUGCCUAUUGUUCUGGGAUCCAAGCUUAGUACAUAACAAUCUCCUUCCUCCGUGUCCCCAGUUCUUAAAUAGGCUUUAUUUCAAAACAGGGUGGGGGGUAGAGAUGGCUUAGUCUUCCAAACAACCCUUUAUCCAUUAGUUAGUAGACAAGCUUCGCAGUGUAAGGAGAGGAAAGCAGACCUUUGAGCCCAGCCUGCCCCCCCCAAAUUCUACCCGCAUGCCUUGAGGCCCCAAGUUGAACGGAGGAAGGCCUGGGGGGCAGCUGCUGGCUGGGACUUUGAUUGGGGCAGAGUGGGGGCACAAGGAGAGGGAGACAGGAAGACCGGCCAGGGGGUGGCACUGGGGAGAUUUAUUCACAUUGGUUUUCUACCCAAAAACCACUACCCCUGGCUGUGAGGAGGGUGGCGCCUCCUCCAUGAAUUCCUCUUCCACUCCCAGCCACUCUGCUCAACCCUUUGCUAAAAUCCUGCUCUCCCUCCUCUCCGUCUCAGAGGCUGGGCUUUCUGUCUCAUCUCAAGAACCGCCAAAGCGCCCGCAAUUGCCUCUUAUCUUCCAGCCAAACCAUCCACAUCAAUCCUAAGCAUCUCCUGUUCUGAUUUCCAUUUUUUGUCUUCUUUUCCAGCUUUUCAGACUUCUCCCUUCCUUCCUUUCAUGGAGAUAUCUAGUGCUUGUUUUCUUUGUCAGUGUCUCUGGUUUAGUGGUCAAAUUUGUCUCCAUUUCAUUAUUUUUAUCAAUUCGGGCUAAUAGCUUCUCCAAAUUUAACACAGGCCUGGUGUUAACUGUUUUUGAACGGCCAUAUUCCAAAUCUCCCUCUCCAUUGUUCUCAAAGCAGCCUAUUUUCCAGCAGCACCUUAUCAGUUUGUCAAGGUCACAGAAUAACUCUUUCCUAAGAGAUCCUGUUUCCUGCAUUUUUCCAGCCCUUCUUCUUCCAUCCAGC